GAGUUUGAUCCUGGCUCAGGAUGAACGCUGGCGGCGUGCCUAAUACAUGCAAGUCGAGCGAACAGAUAAGGAGCUUGCUCCUUUGACGUUAGCGGCGGACGGGUGAGUAACACGUGGGUAACCUACCUAUAAGACUGGAAUAACUCCGGGAAACCGGGGCUAAUGCCGGAUAAUAUUUAGAACCGCAUGGUUCUAAAGUGAAAGAUGGUUUUGCUAUCACUUAUAGAUGGACCCGCGCCGUAUUAGCUAGUUGGUGGGGUAAUGGCUUACCAAGGCAACGAUACGUAGCCGACCUGAGAGGGUGAUCGGCCACACUGGAACUGAGACACGGUCCAGACUCCUACGGGAGGCAGCAGUAGGGAAUCUUCCGCAAUGGGCGAAAGCCUGACGGAGCAACGCCGCGUGAGUGAUGAAGGUCUUCGGAUCGUAAAACUCUGUUAUUAGGGAAGAACAAAUGUGUAAGUAACUGUGCACGUCUUGACGGUACCUAAUCAGAAAGCCACGGCUAACUACGUGCCAGCAGC
rnacentral:rRNA from 1 species